UACAGAGGGUGCGAGCGUUGUUCGGAAUUAUUGGGCGUAAAGGGCGCGUAGGCGGCGCGGUAAGUCACCUGUGAAAUCUCCUGGCUCAACUGGGAGCUUGCAGGCGAAACUGCCGUGCUGGAGUGUGGGAGAGGUGCGUGGAAUUCCCGGUGUAGCGGUGAAAUGCGUAGAGAUCGGGAGGAACACCUGUGGCGAAGGCGGCCGGCUGGGGGUGCCCUGACGCUGAGGCGCGAAAGCGUGGGGAGCGAACCGG
rnacentral:rRNA from 1 species